UACGUAGGGUGCGAGCGUUGUCCGGAAUUACUGGGCGUAAAGAGCUCGUAGGUGGUUUGUCGCGUUGUUCGUGAAAACUCACAGCUCAACUGUGGGCGUGCGGGCGAUACGGGCAGACUGGAGUACUGCAGGGGGAGACUGGAAUUCCUGGUGUAGCGGUGGAAUGCGCAGAUAUCAGGAGGAACACCGAUGGCGAAGGCAGUUCUCUGGGCCGUAACUGACGCUGAGGAGCGAAAGCGUGGGGAGCGAACAGG
rnacentral:rRNA from 1 species